rnacentral:lncRNA from 1 species
UGGCUUUCUUAAGAAUGUCGUAUAAACUGAGUCAUGGAGUAGGUAGCCCUUGGUAUCCUGCUUCUUUCAGCUAGCAUAAUGCAUGUGAGAUCCAUUCAUGCUGUUGUGCAAAACAGUAGUUUGUUUCUUUUUAUUGCUGAGUAAGGAUUUUAUUGUAUGGAAUGUACCAGUUUGUUUAUCCAUUCUCCAGUUGAGAAACAUUUGGGUAGUUUUUAGUUCCUGGUGAUGACAGAUAAAGCUGCUGCAAACAUUCAUGUGCAUAUUUUCGUGAGGAUGUAGUUUUCAUUUCACUUGAGUAAAUGCAAAGCAGUGAGAUUGCUGGGUCAUACAGUAUCCUUCUAAUUAAAAUAUCUGACCAUGUCCCCAUCAGCCACUUGCCUCAUUUGGGACACCACCAACCAUCCUGCACGGCUGCCCAUGUUUCUGUUUCUCCAGCCCAAGCAUGCAGUUUCAGUAGGUCCUUCAGAGGCUGCCUGAAAGGAGCUCCUGAAUUUCACAGACAAAUCCAGACCCCUGUGUGGAAAGCCUGCGGUGGUGUUCUCCGUCUUCCCACAGGACUCCCUGCAGCCAGGAAUUCUAGGGGAGCACCUGACGCGAGGUAUACGCCCAGAUGGCCUGAAGUAACUGAAGAAUCACAAAAGAAGUGAAAAUGUCCUGCCCCGCCUUAACUGAUGACAUUCCACCACAAAGGAAGUGUCAAUGGCUGGUCCUUGCCUUAACUGAUGACAUUCCACCGCAAAAGAAGUGAAAAUGGCCGGUCCUUGCCUUAACUGAUGACAUUACACCACAAAAGAAGUGAAAAUGGCCGGUCCUUGCCUUAAGUGAUGGCAUUACCUUGUGAAAGUCCUUUUCCUGGCUCAUUCUGGCUCAAAAUCACCCCCACUGAGCACCUUGUGACCCCCACUCCUGCCCGCCAGGGAACAAUCCCCCUUUGACUGUAAUUUUCCUUUACCUACCCAAAUCUUAUAAAAUGGCCCCACCCCUAUCUCCCUUUGCUGACUCUCUUUUUGGACUCAGCCUGCCUGCAUCCAGGUGAUUAAAAGCUUUUAUUGCUCACACAAAGCCUGUUUGGUGGUCUUUUCAUACGGAUGUGCGUGAAAACCACAAUAUUCCUGUAAGCCAAAGUCUAACUCAGAGCGAGGCCCUUACCCUCUUAUACUCUGUGAAGGCUGAGAGAGGUGAAAAAGUUGCAAAAGAGACAUUGGAAGCUAGCUGAGGUUGGUUCAUGAAGUUUAAGGUACGAAACCGUUCUGUAACAUAGAAG